CCUACGGGUGGCAGCAGUGAGGAAUAUUGGUCAAUGGGCGAGAGCCUGAACCAGCCAAGUCGCGUGAAGGAUGAAGGAUCUAUGGUUUGUAAACUUCUUUUAUAUGGGAAUAAAGUGAGGAACGUGUUCCUUUUUGUAUGUACCAUAUGAAUAAGCAUAGGCUAACGCCGUGCCAGCAGCCGCGGUAAUACGGAGGAUGCGAGCGUUAUCCGGAUUUAUUGGGUUUAAAGGGUGCGUAGGUGGUUAAUUAAGUCAGCGGUGAAAGUUGGUGGCUCAACCAUAAAAUUGCCGUUGAAACUGGUUGACUUGAGUAUAUUUGAGGAAGGUGGAAUGCGUGGUGUAGCGGUGAAAUGCAUAGAUAUCACGCAGAACUCCAAUGGCGAAGGCAGCUUACUAAACUAUAACUGACACUGAGGCACGAAAGCGUGGGGAGCAAACAGGAUUAGAUACCCGUGUAGUC
rnacentral:rRNA from 1 species